AAACUACUCGGCAGAUUAAUGAACAGUUCAACUAAAUUUCUUCAAUGCAGCUUAACGAGGCUAGCAGUUGAGAUAUAAUAUUUAAAAAAAGGAAUAGCAAGGCUAUUAGAAAACCAUGGUUGAAACACAGCAUAGUAAAACAUUUCUUCAUAGAUCAGGAACCAUUACAAACAUCAACUGAAUUGGAGAAACAGCAUCUCUGUGGCCUUGUGUUGGCAUAGUGUGAACGCUGGUUAGAACAUAAAAAACUGUUGUAAUAAUAAAGCUUUAUUUAUACAGCACUUUUCAUACAGCACUUUUCAUACAGCACGUGCAGCUCAAAGUCCUUUACAAAAUGGCGACACAUCACAAGUUAAAAAUAAACAACAAGAAAGUCCCCUCAGACGUUAAGACCUUUACAGAUACAUGCAGCAAAAUAUAACAUUGUAACAGGUUAAGAUACACAAGGAGGUAAAAGGUAUGACAAUAACAAAUGAAAUACAGUACAAAAAAUGAUGAUUUCUCUCGGAAAGAUAAGACACAAGACAGGUGAAUAGAUUCAACAAUAUAAAACCCUGUAAAGUAAAGUGAACAUAUAGGUACAACAGAAAUAAAAACUAAUAAUGU